rnacentral:rRNA from 1 species
UACAGAGGUCUCAAGCGUUGUUCGGAUUCAUUGGGCGUAAAGGGUGCGUAGGCGGCGCGGUAAGUCGGGUGUGAAAUCUCGGGGCUUAACUCCGAAACUGCAUUCGAUACUGCGGUGCUUUGAGGACUGGAGAGGAGACUGGAAUUCAUGGUGUAGCAGUGAAAUGCGUAGAGAUCAUGAGGAAGACCAGUGGCGAAGGCGGGUCUCUGGACAGUUCCUGACACUGAGGCACGAAGGCCAGGGGAGCAAACGGG